UUGGUGGGCCAUAUAAGAAGAAGAAUAACAAAAUGUAAACAAAGAAAUAGAUUUGCGAAACAAUCUGAAAUCCGCAAAUGAAAAUAUUGUGAGUUAUUUAUACAAAAAAUGAGCGAUUGGAGUGAUUUGUUAACAACCAUAAACUUAGGACUGUUUAUAGCUGGCACGGAGCUUGCCAUGAUGGAAGAAGGCACCCACAAGAAAGCCCCAAUAUAUCGCGUAAGUCCGUACCUCCGGGAAAGGAACUCAAAGGGUCGGUUCGAGACUGAUUUCGAGAACUUAAAGAGCUCAGCUAGUCUUCAACGAGAACUUUUGUAUGACUCCUGCCACGUUUGAAACACUCUAUGAGAUACUACUUCCAUUUUUGCUGGGCAAGCGAAAUACCAGGCCGGAUGAUUUCAUUUGUGAAAAAGCCAAACUGGCAAUGGUUUUAGAGUACUUUGCAACGGGAGAUUUGUGUAGACAUAUAGCUUCCUGCUAUAGAAUUAGUAAGCAGCAUUUUGAUCACAUAGUAUAGCACGUAAGUCAAGCUAUCUGCAAAGCUUUGAAGAGCCAAGUACCGGAAUGUAAUGAGCAAACCAUGUCUACAGUUGCGAAUGGUUAUAAAGAAAAAUGGAAUUUUCCAAACUGCGUUAGAGCUAUCGAUGGAAAACAUGUCGCCAUUAGAGCGCCCCCGAAAAGUGGAAGUAUUUUCUUCAAUUACAAGGCAAGUAACUUAUACCUGUACAUAUUAACAUACUAGAGCACUGCAUGAAUAAAUUCAUUUUCUUGUGUAUGGUUCGCUAUCGCAAAAUUUGCUACCUCGAAUCCUCCUGAUCGUAUGGAUUUUCGCUCUGAUUUAAAUACGAAAAGUGCUGUAUCCAAAGACUGAGAAGUUUUCCUCCUCUUCUGUAAAAUUUGUAAAAAUGGACUUAGUAACUUUUUCCCAUAAGCUAGCGAUAUAUAUGUAGUUGCCUUAAUAUAGAAGGGCACAAUCUAACAUUUUUAUUUCAUAACGGAGUGAUGAAAGAACUUCACGCUCCGAAUUUCUUGAAAGGCUGUAUUUAUUGAAGAAUGUAACCAAUUUUAUGCUAUAGACUAUAGUAGAUGUUUAGUGAGUAAUCGUCAGGCUUUUAUACAAUGAAUUAGGGCUUUUUUAUACUAACGUAACGAAUAUUCUACUAUAUAUUUGCGGAAGUAUGUAUGUAUGUGCCAGGUUGCAGCCUUAACGGAAGGACAGAAUCGAAC